CUGGACUGUCUGGUCUACACUGAUAGUCUCCGUGUCCCUCUAGUCCUAAGGACUCGUGGGUCAGGGGUUAGUGAGGUUGUUAAGUAAGUCCCUGUGGACCGGGCCCUUAGCGUCUAUAGUCAUUCAAAACGGUCAAACAUAUAACAUUUAAGGCUUUGGGCCUGGUUAUGGCAAUUUCAGUAAAACAAUAUAACAGUAUGAAAUAGCGUAUAGAAAACAUAAAAAAAGUAUAACUAAAGUUGGCAGCAUGGUGAGUUAUGGGUUAGUACAUCA